AUUGAACGCUGGCGGCAGGCUUAACACAUGCAAGUCGAACGAGUGGCGGACGGGUGAGUAAUGCUUGGGAAUCUAGCUUAUGGAGGGGGAUAACUAAGGGAAACUGUAGCUAAUACCGCGUACCAUAGGAUGAGCCCAAGUGGGAUUAGGUAGUUGGUGAGGUAAAGGCUCACCAAGCCGACGAUCUCUAGCUGGACUGAGAGGAUGACCAGCCAAACUGGGACUGAGACACGGCCCAGACUCCUACGGGGGGGAGCAGUGGGGAAUAUUGCGCAAUGGGGGCAACCUGACGCAGCCAUGCCGCGUGAAUGAAGAAGGCCUUCGGGUUGUAAAGUUCUUUCGGUAGCGAGGCGUUAACUACAGAAGAAGCACCGGCUAACUCCGUGCCAGCAGCGGCGGUAAUUC
rnacentral:rRNA from 1 species